UUCUUUAAGAUAUAAUUUAAAGUAAAACCUGCUCAAUGAAUUAUAUUAAAUAGCCGCAGUUAACUGUGCUAAGGUAGCAUAAUAAUUAGUCUCUUAAUUAGAGAAUAGUAUGAAAGGAUAAACGAGAUAAAUACUGUCUCAUAAAAACAAGAUAAAUUCACCUAAUAGUAAAAAGGCUAUUAUAAAUAAAAAAGACGACAAGACCCUGAUAAACUUUUUAUUUAGCUGGGGAGGCCAAUAAAAAAACCUUAAUUUUAUAGACAAAAAUACUAUUAAAAUAUUUACAGUUACUACAGGGAUAACAGCGCUACUUUUUUCUAGAGUCCCUAUCUAAAAAAAAUAGUACGACCUCGAUGUUGAAUUAUUUUCCCUUAUAAAAGCAAAAUUUUAAAAUGGAGGUCUGUUCAACCUAUAAUAAAUU
rnacentral:rRNA from 1 species